AGUCGAGGGGUAUGCUUCUUCGGAAGCAGAGACCGGCGCACGGGUGCGUAACGCGUAUGCAAUCUACCUUUUACAGAGGGAUAGCCCAGAGAAAUUUGGAUUAAUACCUCAUAGUAUAGCUGAAUCGCAUGAUUCUACUAUUAAAGUCACAACGGUAAAAGAUGAGCAUGCGUCCCAUUAGCUAGUUGGUAAGGUAACGGCUUACCAAGGCUACGAUGGGUAGGGGUCCUGAGAGGGAGAUCCCCCACACUGGUACUGAGACACGGACCAGACUCCUACGGGAGGCAGCAGUGAGGAAUAUUGGACAAUGGGCGCAAGCCUGAUCCAGCCAUGCCGCGUGCAGGAUGACGGUCCUAUGGAUUGUAAACUGCUUUUAUACGAGAAGAAACACUGCUUCGUGAAGCAGCUUGACGGUAUCGUAAGAAUAAGGAUCGGCUAACUCCGUGCCAGCAGCCGCGGUAAUACGGAGGAUCCAAGCGUUAUCCGGAAUCAUUGGGUUUAAAGGGUCCGUAGGCGGUUUAAUAAGUCAGUGGUGAAAGCCCAUCGCUCAACGGUGGAACGGCCAUUGAUACUGUUAAACUUGAAUUAUUAGGAAGUAACUAGAAUAUGUAGUGUAGCGGUGAAAUGCUUAGAGAUUACAUGGAAUACCAAUUGCGAAGGCAGGUUACUACUAAUGGAUUGACGCUGAUGG
rnacentral:rRNA from 3 species